CUUGGCGUCGGUGUAACGAUUCGGGUCAUCCCCGAACUCACCGAGCACCCGGGCGCCGAGCACAACACCAAGUCCGGGCAGG
rfam:Mycobacterium farcinogenes DSM 43637 genomic scaffold, SCAFFOLD00002